rnacentral:tRNA from 1 species
UGCCUCUUAGCUCAGCAGGUAGAGCCCGCGGCUGUUAACCGCGUUGUCGUCAGUUCGAGUCUGACAGAGGCAGCCA